AUACGGCCAUAUCGCGUUGAAACACCGGUUCUCAGCCGAUCACUGAAGUUCAGCAACAUUGAGACAUAUUAGUACCUAGAUGGGUAACUUCUUGGGAAUACUGUCUGAUGUAA